CCUACGGGUGGCAGCAGUGCGGAAUAUUGGUCAAUGGACGCAAGUCUGAACCAGCCAUGCCGCGUGCAGGAAGACGGCUCUAUGAGUUGUAAACUGCUUUUGUACGAGGGUAAACUCAUAUACGCGUAUCUGUCUGAAAGUAUCCUACGAAUAAGGAUCGGCUAACUCCGUGCCAGCAGCCGCGGUAAUACGGAGCAUUCAAGCGUUAUCCGUAUUUAUUGGGUUUAAAGGGUGCGUAGGCGGUCGGAUAAGUUAGAGGUGAAAUCCCGAGGCUCAACUUCGGAAUUGCCGCUGAUACUGUGAGGCUAGAGAGUAGUAGCGGUAGGCGGAAUGUAUGGUGUAGCGGUGAAAUGCUGAGAGAUCAUACAGAACACCGAUUGCGAAGGCAGUUUACUAAGCUACAUCUGACGUUGAGGCACGAAAGCGUGGGGAGCAAACAGGAUUAGAUACCCUAGUAGUC
rnacentral:rRNA from 1 species